rnacentral:rRNA from 1 species
AUCGAACGCUGGCGGUAUGCCUUACACAUGCAAGUCGAACGGUAACAGGUCUUCGGAUGCUGACGAGUGGCGAACGGGUGAGUAAUACAUCGGAACGUGCCCGAGAGUGGGGGAUAACGAGGCGAAAGCUUUGCUAAUACCGCAUACGAUCUCAGGAUGAAAGCAGGGGACCGCAAGGCCUUGCGCUCACGGAGCGGCCGAUGGCAGAUUAGGUAGUUGGUGGGAUAAAAGCUUACCAAGCCGACGAUCUGUAGCUGGUCUGAGAGGACGACCAGCCACACUGGGACUGAGACAUGGCCCAGACUCCUACGGGAGGCAGCAGUGGGGAAUUUUGGACAAUGGGCGCAAGCCUGAUCCAGCCAUGCCGCGUGCAGGAUGAAGGCCUUCGGGUUGUAAACUGCUUUUGUACGGAACGAAAAGACUCUGGUUAAUACCUGGGGUCCAUGACGGUACCGUAAGAAUAAGCACCGGCUAACUACGUGCCAGCAGCCGCCGUAACAC